GCUUGCUGGAUGCUGACGAGCGGCGGACGGGUGAGUAAUGCAUAGGAAUCUGCCCGAUAGUGGGGGAUAACCUGGGGAAACCCAGGCUAAUACCGCAUACGUCCUACGGGAGAAAGGGGGCUCCGGCUCCCGCUAUGGGAUGAGCCUAUGUCGGAUUAGCUAGUUGGUGAGGUAACGGCUCACCAAGGCCACGAUCCGUAACUGGUCUGAGAGGAUGAUCAGCCACCUCGGGACUGAGACACGGCCCGAACUCCUACGGGAGGCAGCAGUGGGGAAUAUUGGACAAUGGGGGAAACCCUGAUCCAGCCUUGCCGCGUGUGUGGAGAAGGCCCUCGGGUUGUAGAGCAGUUUCCUGCAGGAAGAACGCCUAACGGUUAAUAACCGCUAGGGAAGACAUCGCUCGCAGUAAAAGCAGCGGCUAACUCCGUGCCAGCAGCCGCGGUAAUACGGAGGGUGCAAGCGUUAAUCGGAAUUACUGGGCGUAAAGCGCGCGUAGGUGGCUUGAUAAGCCGGUUGUGAAAACCUCGGGCUCAACCUGGGAACGGCGUCCGGAACUGUCAAGCUAGAGUGCAAGAGAGGAAGGUAGAAUUCCCGGUGUAUCGGUGAAAUGCGUAUAGAU
rnacentral:rRNA from 1 species